GUGGCAUAUGCCUGUAAUCUCAAGUAUUUGGGAGGCUGAGGCACAAGAAUUGCUUUAACUUGGGAGGGGGACAUUGCAGUGAGCCGAGAUCGAGACACUGCACUGCAGCGUGGGAAACAGAACGAGACUGUCUCAUUAAAAAAAAAAGCAGAAGAAAAAUACAAAAAUUAGUGGGCGUGGUGGUGCAUGCCUGUAGCCCCAGCUCCUCGGGAGGCUGAGGUGGGAGGAUGGCUUGAACCUGGGAGGUGGAGUUUGCAGUGAGCCAAGAUCAAGACAUUGCACUCCAGCCUGGGCAACCGAGUGGGACCCUGUCUCAAAAUAAAUAAGGAAUCCAGUUUUCAAGCAAUAGGACAUACAUGGAUACAUACAUUGAUACAUAUCUACAUGGAUACAUACAUGAUACAUACACACAUGGAUACACACAUGGAUACAUACAUGCAUACAUGCAUGGAUACACACAUACAUACAUGGAUACAUACAUACAUGGAUACAUACAUCUAUACAUGGAUACAUUCAUUCAUUCAUUCAUGCUUCAAUCAUUCAUGCAUCCCCCAUCUUACUCUAGAAAGGAUUUCAGGCAAAGAGCUAGAGUGUGAGAGGGAAGAGGCUGAGAUCCUGGUGCAGGGCCAGGCAGGGGGUCAGGGUAAACAAUGACCCAGGGAGGCCAGCUGGGCAGGACUACCGUGUGGCUUUAGGCAGGGCCUUGCCGCCCCACGGCCUGGUCAAGAAGGUGCUCAGCAGGUGCUGGUGGGGCUGAGACAUGACUCAGGGUCCACGGGUUCUCAGGCCAAAGGGGUCAGUCAGAAACACCCAGAAGCCCUUCCCAGUUUGGUCUCCUGGCCGCCCGUGAUCGGCAACCCUCCUCCAGGUGGCUGGCUGCAAGUGUGACGGGGGCACCUUCGGCCGCUACUGCGAGGGCUCCGAGGAUGCCUGUGAGGAGCCGUGCUUCCCGAGUGUCCACUGCGUUCCUGGGAAGGGCUGCGAGGCCUGCCCUCCAAACCUGACUGGGGAUGGGCGGCACUGUGCGGGUGAGCCGGGAACAGGGCCUGGAGCAGGCGCUUCUGGGAGCAGCUGAUAGCUCAAGGGUGUAGACAGCCAAAGGCAAACCAUUUCUCUCCUUUUUCCAGCAGAUCUUUAGAAUGCUCAAUCUAGGCAGGUGUGGGAAAUCUAGGCAGGUGUGGGAAAUCAUCUAGGCAGGUAUGGGAAAUCUAGGCAGGCCUGGAAAGGGGGUGGUGGAUGGUGUGGGGCUGAAGGAGAAGAGGUUGUACAGGCAUAGGGGAGGGGACGGGGCUGGGCAUCCCUGAGGCAUUGAUGGGGGGAGCCCCGGGCGAAAGACUGAAGAUGGUUUGGGGAGGAGACUUCAGCAGCCGCCAGAGAACCGGGCAAGCUGGGUCCUCGGGAUCCCUGGGGAUCUUCAGAGACACGAGGCUCAGGAUCUCUGCAUCUCACGAGUCAGGACGUUUGGAGGGGCUGGCGUGGGGAUCCGGCAGCAAAGGUGCCUGAUUUUCCCUUUGAGUCCUCCCAGCCAUCUGUUCCUCCCGCUCUGAGUCACCAGAGUCUGAUGAGGGAGAUCACAGCGAGGCCUUUACCAAGCCCCCUAAGGCACCC
rnacentral:lncRNA from 1 species